CGCGGAGGGGAUAACGGCGGUGCUUUCAUUGUUGAAUGUUCAGUCCGGGUCCUUAACCCUUCCUCUGGGGGAUAUGGGGACCUCUGCCCCCCGUUACGUGUGCAACCAGAAGUCGUGUCGAAACUUGACCGUGCAGAAGUGUAACUCACGUGCAGCUGGAAAAUCGGUGUUUUUGGGUUUCCCCGCCGUGGCCCCCUUCCUGCUAAGUUGGCGUUCACCGUCACGUUUCCCGCCCUCCGGCCUUCCCGGGCCGCGAACCGAUUUCGGGCCUCUCCAAAACUCCGUGGUCUGUAAAUACAAGAUUCUUAAUUUAAAAACAAAACACACCAACCUAGAGACUUUUUUUUUUUUUUUUGCACUUUAAAACCUACUUUUCGGACGAAGCUUCCUAAAGGGUCCUGUUGUGGCCCGUGGAGCGUACCGUAUUUGGCGGGCCAGGGUUGGGGCUGGGGGGGGUCCUGUCUUUCCAGCCCCGCAGUCGAAAACUACUACACGGCAGGGGUGUGUGCUUGAAUCCGGUCCCGCCGCCUGGGAGGAUGGGAUCUCCCAGAGGACCCCCCCGCCGUCUACUUAAGCUGUUUGGGAGCCUGCCGCGUGGUUUUCGGUCCUGGGAAACGGGCAGCCUCCGGUGGUUCUGUUCCGGAAACUCACUGCCGAGGGCAAAACCGUGCAAGUCGGAGGCCCGAAGGUUUUGACAGAAUUUUUUGACCUUAGUACGGAGAAGCUGAGUUAAAAGGAGUGUUACUGCCUUAAUGAUUAAGCGUUCGUUAGUUUGAAGGCCUGUACACACCAAGGAGAACUGCAUGUUUGUUUCUGCCUUUUUGUUAAAUAAGUGGGCGGUGAUGGAUGGCUUGAAAAAAGGACUUGGUUUCGGAGAUGGUUUUUCUUCACCCAACGGGUGGGUUCCGUCGGGCACAGGGAGCUCGUGUUAGAAGAGGGCUUUUUACGGAUGAAGACCGGUGGGGAAACACCGCUCCAAUUAGCUGUAUAUGUCCUAGAGGAAGCGAACAGUCUGUAAAAGCCCAAAUUGCACUGAUUAAAGAGCAGCCGGAAUCACGAAA